rnacentral:lncRNA from 10 species
ACUCUCCAGAGUUCCGCCGCUUAGGCGGUUGUGCUAAUCUGCGUCAGCUGGGGCUGUAUUUGGAAGAAGAGGCGCUGCCUCCAGUCAAGUCUGUUUUUUUCAGGUGGGGACUGUAGGCCUUUGUGCCCUGCUGGAAAUCGUGAAAAGCAAGAGAGAAGAGUCCCAGUUAUUCUUGCUGCCUUUGAUAAGUGAAUUUAGGGCAACUACUAGUGCCAGUAGGCAUGGGGGAUCUACCGAUGAAGAAGACACAAAGUCUCCGCUCUCGUGGAGUUUACAGAGAAUAAUGAAUGAGAUUAAUUAAGAAAUGAAUGAGAUUAAUUGAAUGAAAUUGCCAGACUGAAUGAAGUGAAUGGCCUGAAUAUAAACAAUUUCCAAAUACAGAUAACACUGCAUAUCUGGUGUUUGCAAUACUCCCUUCGCACUUGAGGAAGAAGCACUAUGUCUGGGGCCAAGUGUGACCCUUUGUCUGUUGCUGGGUACCUUUCAUUUCGCAC